rnacentral:snRNA from 1 species
GUGCUCGCUUCGGCAGCACAUAUACUAAAAUUGGAACAGUUUAGAGAUUAGCAUGGCCCCUGCACAAGGAUGACACGCAAAUUCUUGAAGCUUAAAAAAUAUUU